rnacentral:rRNA from 1 species
CUGCCCAAAAGAGGGGGAUACCACUUGGAAACAGGUGCUAAUACCGCAUAACAUAGUUACCGCAUGGUAGCUAUGUAAAAGGUGGCUAUGCUACCGCUUUUGGAUGGGCCCGCGGCGCAUUAGCUAGUUGGUGGGGUAAAGGCUUACCAAGGCAAUGAUGCGUAGCCGAACUGAGAGGUUGAUCGGCCACAUUGGGACUGAGACACGGCCCAAACUCCUACGGGAGGCAGCAGUAGGGAAUCUUCCACAAUGGGCGAAAGCCUGAUGGAGCAACGCCGCGUGGGUGAAGAAGGUCUUCGGAUCGUAAAACCCUGUUGUUAGAGAAGAAAGUGCGUGAGAGUAACUGUUCACGUUUCGACGGUAUCUAACCAGAAAGCCACGGCUAACUACGUGCCAGCAGCCGCGGUAAUACGUAGGUGGCAAGCGUUAUCCGGAUUUAUUGGGCGUAAAGGGAACGCAGGCGGUCUUUUAAGUCUGAUGUGAAAGCCUUCGGCUUAACCGGAGUAGUGCAUUGGAAACUGGGAGACUUGAGUGCAGAAGAGGAGAGUGGAACUCCAUGUGUAGCGGUGAAAUGCGUAGAUAUAUGGAAGAACACCAGUGGCGAAAGCGGCUCUCUGGUCUGUAACUGACGCUGAGGUUCGAAAGCGUGGGUAGCAAACAGGAUUAGAUACCCUGGUAGUCCACGCCGUAAACGAUGA